CCCUUAGACGUUCUGGGCCGCACGCGCGCUACACUGACGAAGGCAACGAGCUUUCCUUUACCGAAAGGUACGGGUAAUCUUUUGAAACUUCGUCGUGCUGGGGAUAGAUCCUUGCAAUUUUUGAUCUUAAACGAGGAAUGCCUAGUAAGCGCAAGUCAUCAACUUGCGUUGAUUACGUCCCUGACCUUUGUACACACCGCCCGUCGCUACUACCGAUUGAAUGGUUUAGUGAGGCCUUCGGAUACGCGACUCGUUUGUGGAGAAGUUGGACAAACUCAGUCAUUUAGAGGAAGUAAAAGUCGUAACA
rnacentral:rRNA from 1 species